UCAUGACCUCCCUGGCACGGGUGGCCACCGGCAUUUUAUUACCUGUGCUUGUAGCCAGCAAAAUCAACAAGUAAGACCAUUACGGAGAAAUCCAGAAGGAAACAGACACACUGCAGCCCGCGUUCUUCUUGGAUGGGAAAGCCAUCCACUCACCUUCAAUUCCAGAAGAUCUCAUCCCCAAAAGAAGGCAGUGCAGCACCAGAAUCAGUUACUUGGUAUGAAUCCACCAUGGGAACGACAGCAAGGAACAGAUCAACAACUAAAUAUCAGAUGGUCCGCAGGAGUGACGCUGAGCUGGAUGACCCAGGGCACCUUUUGCCCUCUGAUAAGCCAAGUCCUAAAGUCAGGACCUCAAAAAUGGCCUCUGAGGGAUCUCGGGAGGGGGACAAUAUGUGGAUGUAACCCCUCAUCUCUUCCCCUUUCCAGUGCAGCCACCCCGAAUAAUCUCCAUUCUCCACUUUUCACAUCGCACAUCUCUAACUGACUGAGCCUCGCUGGGAGCAGGGCUUUUUGUUGUUGUUGUUGGAGACAGUACCCUCGAGUAGCCCAAGCUGACCGUGAACUUGCUCCGUAGCGAGGAUGACUGGAACUCGGGCUCCUCAUGUUCCUCCCUCAAGGACUGAGAUUACCAGUGUCAGAGCUUCACACAUGACAGGCAAGGGCUCGACCAACUGAGCACUAUCCCUGGAC
rnacentral:lncRNA from 1 species